rnacentral:rRNA from 1 species
CCUACGGGAGGCAGCAGUGGGGAAUCUUGCGCAAUGGGCGAAAGCCUGACGCAGCCAUGCCGCGUGAAUGAUGAAGGUCUUAGGAUUGUAAAAUUCUUUCACCGGGGACGAUAAUGACGGUACCCGGAGAAGAAGCCCCGGCUAACUUCGUGCCAGCAGCCGCGGUAAUACGAAGGGGGCUAGCGUUGCUCGGAAUUACUGGGCGUAAAGGGAGCGUAGGCGGACAUUUAAGUCAGGGGUGAAAUCCCAGAGCUCAACUCUGGAACUGCCUUUGAUACUGGAUGUCUUGAGUGUGAGAGAGGUAUGUGGAACUCCGAGUGUAGAGGUGAAAUUCGUAGAUAUUCGGAAGAACACCAGUGGCGAAGGCGACAUACUGGCUCAUUACUGACGCUGAGGCUCGAAAGCGUGGGGAGCAAACAGGAUUAGAUACCCUGGUAGUCCACGCCGUAAACGAUGAUUGCUAGUUGUCGGGAUGUUUACAUCUCGGUGACGCAGCUAACGCAUUAAGCAAUCCGCCUGGGGAGUCGGUGCAGNUAAACUUAAAUGAAUUGACGGNGNGAGAGNGCGAGACGACGACGAGGAGAGG